rnacentral:rRNA from 1 species
UAGGGAAUCUUCCGCAAUGGACGCAAGUCUGACGGAGCAACGCCGCGUGAGUGAAGAAGGAUUUCGGUUCGUAAAACUCUGUUGUUAGAGAAGAACAGCGCAUAGAGUAACUGUUAUGCGUGUGACGGUAUCUAACCAGAAAGCCACGGCUAACUACGUGCCAGCAGCCGCGGUAAUACGUAGGUGGCAAGCGUUGUCCGGAUUUAUUGGGCGUAAAGCGAGCGCAGGCGGUCAAUUAAGUCUGAUGUGAAAGCCCCCGGCUCAACCGGGGAGGGUCAUUGGAAACUGGUUGACUUGAGUGCAGAAGAGGAUAGUGGAAUUCCAUGUGUAGCGGUGAAAUGCGUAGAUAUAUGGAGGAACACCAGUGGCGAAGGCGACUCUCUGGUCUGUAACUGACGCUGAGGCUCGAAAGCGUGGGUAGCAAACAGG